GCAGUCGUGGCCGAGUGGUUAAGGCGAUGGACUCGAAAUCCAUUGGGGUCUCCCCGCGCAGGUUCGAAUCCUGUCGGCUUAGUU